ACUGCUCAGUAACACGUGGACAACCUGCCCUUAGGUUGGGUAUAAACCCGGGAAACUGGGUAUAAUACCCGAUAGGUCUCGAUUGCUGGAAUGCAUCGAGAUUUAAAGCUCCGGCGCCUAAGGAUGGGUCUGCGGCCUAUCAGGUAGUAGUGGGUGUAGCGUACCUACUAGCCUACGACGGGUACGGGUUGUGAGAGCAAGAGCCCGGAGAUGGAUUCUGAGACACGAAUCCAGGCCCUACGGGGUGCAGCAGGCGCGAAAACUUUACAAUGCUGGCAACAGCGAUAAGGGAACCUCGAGUGCCAGGUUACAAAUCUGGCUGUCGAGAUGCCUAAAAAGCAUUUCGUAGCAAGGGCCGGGCAAGACCGGUGCCAGCCGCCGCGGUAACACCGGCGGCUCGAGUGGUAACCGUUAUUAUUGGGUCUAAAGGGUCUGUAGCCGGCCGGAUAAGUCUCUUGAGAAAUCUGGCAGCUUAACUGUCAGGCUUUCAGGAGAUACUGUCUGGCUCGAGGCCGGGAGAGGUGAGAGGUACUUCAGGGGUAGGGGUGAAAUCUUGUAAUCCUUGAAGGACCACCAGUGGCGAAGGCGUCUCACCAGAACGGACCUGACGGCAAGGGACGAAAGCUAGGGGCACGAACCGGAUUAGAUACCCGGGUAGUCCUAGCCGUAAACGAUACUCGCUAGGUGUCGGCCACGGUGCGACCGUUGUCGGUGCCGUAGGGAAGCCGUGAAGCGAGCCACCUGGGAAGUACGGCCGCAAGGCUGAAACUUAAAGGAAUUGGCGGGGGAGCAC
rnacentral:rRNA from 1 species